rnacentral:rRNA from 1 species
GGAGGAAUAUUGCACAAUGGACGCAAGUCUGAUGCAGCAACGCCGCGUGGAGGAUGACGGUCUUUGGAUUGUAAACUCCUUUUCUCAGGGAAGAGAAUGGACGGUACCUGAGGAAUAAGUCACGGCUAACUACGUGCCAGCAGCCGCGGUAAUACGUAGGUGGCAAGCGUUAUCCGGAAUUACUGGGCGUAAAGCGCACGCAGGCGGUCUCUUAAGUUUGACGUGAAAGCUCCCGGCUUAACUGGGAGAG